rnacentral:rRNA from 1 species
ACGAACUGCAGAACCUCGUGAAUCAUCAAAAUUUUGAACGCACAUUGUGCUUCCAGGAUAUGCCUGGUUGCAUGCAAGACUGAGUGUCCUUGU